rnacentral:rRNA from 1 species
UUCUUAAAGAAAUUAAUUUUAAGUAAAAUCUGCUCAAUGAUAAUUAAAUAGCCGCUAUAAGUGCUAAGGUAGCAUAAUCACUCGCCUUUUAAUUCUAGGAUAGAAUGAAUGAUUCAACAUUUAAUAUUAUUUAUUAAUUUUAUUUUAUUAAAUUUUAUUAAAUAUAAAAAUAUAUUUAUUAUUAAAAAAGACGAUAAGACCCUAUUAAACUUUACUUAAGUUUAGUUGGGGAAACUAAUUAAAAAUAAUUUUAAUUUUAUUUCUUUAAAAUAAAUCUUUUUAAAAAACUUUUCAAAAGUUACUAUAGGGAUAACAGCGCAAUUAUUUUUUAAAGAUCUUAUUUAUAAAAUAGAUUACGACCUCGAUGUUGAAUAUAAUUACUUAUAUUUAUUAAGCAAAAAUUUACAAAGUAAGUCUGUUCGACUUUUAAAAUUUUACA